UAAUGAUAAAGAAAAAGGGUUCCCACCACCAUAAAAAUUACCUGAACUUACACCAGAAUGUGAACUGUGUUCAUUCUCCUUAAACAGAGCGUAUCAUGGUUUAGAUUCUAAUGUUAUGUUUAUAAAAGAUAACAUUUGCCAAAAUAUUUUUUUUUCAAGCCAGGUGCUGAAAAUAGUGUAACUCUAGCUUUUUUAAAAAUAAAAACACUACAAUUCCUGCACUGAAAGCAAAGUCUAAAUGCACAGCUAAAAAGCACAUGAAAGUGCUUUCCAAAAAAAUGCAGGUCGGCUAUAAAUUAAAAUAUUUUUAAAAUACUUACCAUGGAUAAUCUAUAAGGAAACACUUGUAUAAUUCUGGUAGGAUUUCCCCCAUAUUUUAAUUGCAUUUGUGUGAAAUAAACCCUCUGAUUUUGGGCCAGAACACAUAGAAGAGAGAAAAAACAGAGGUAUGGUACUGAAGUAAAUGUUAAGGAGUAAAAAAGGAAAAGUGAAAUGUUAGUCUCCUCUUACGAUAUGAUAGAUGUUGCAUCUAUUCUCAGCAGCUCUGUUCUAUGGACCUACUAAACUAUUACUACUUAUAUCACUACUUAUUACACUGCAAACUUUAUCAGGAACUCAAGAACUAGAUUUGUUACACCCUUGCUAAUCCAACUGAUUCAAUCUAGUUCAGAAGAAAAAAAAAUCUAAUUUUUGUUGUCUGAUGUAGACAAACACAAAACGAAACAUUGUUUGCAAUGGCUCCAAGGAAAAUACUAAAGGAUACCCCCCCAUAAUUAAUACUGUUAAUAUUAGAGAUGUAUUGAACUGGUGUGAACUGUAAUUUUAUAUGUAUUUUGCUAAAAUCUAUGAUUGCAAAUACUAGUAGUAGUAGUAGUAGUAGUAGUAGUAGUAGUAGUAGUAGUAGUAGUGGUGGCGGCGUUAACCUAAUUCAUGGUUUAUUCAGCCACAUUUUUGAAGGGUUUACACAACAGUAAAUUGUAAACUAAUAAACUGAGCUGGAUUUAGGCUAUGAUGGGUUUGAAUGGUUUAUAAUUGAGUACCUAGUGUUGUGUAAACACAGUCUUAUUUGGAUAAAAAACACGGGAAUUUUUUCAGAGUGAUACUAAAGCUGACAUCAUUAUUAACCAAAAUUAUUCACACUGUACACUCAACAGUUGCAAUGGAAUUAUGGCCAACAGGUUGUCAACUUGUAUCUGAAAGCAGUGCAAUCCAUUUGUAGAUGAGAACUAGUAUGAUUUGGAUUCAUGAUUAUUUGUGCAAAAUAAUUUUUGACACCUAAAAAAUUAGAUAUCAAAGGACAAGAUCCUGGCCUCGCUUUCACAGCGUUAUUUUCUACAUAUAAAUGGUAUU